rnacentral:rRNA from 1 species
CAAUAGCGUAUAUUAAAGUUGUUGCGGUUAAAAAGCUCGUAGUUGGAUUUCUGCCGAGGACGACCGGUCCGCCCUCUGGGUGAGCAUCUGGAUCGGCCUGGGCAUCUUCUUGGGGAACGUGUCUGCACUUGACUGUGUGGUGCGGUAUCCAGGACUUUUACUUUGAGGAAAUUAGAGUGUUUCAAGCAGGCGCACGCCUUGAAUACAUUAGCAUGGAAUAAUAAGAUAGGACCUCGGUUCUAUUUUGUUGGUUUCUAGAGCUGAGGUAAUGAUUAAUAGGGAUAGUUGGGGGCGAUUCGUAUUAACCGGUCAGAGGUGGAAUUCUUGGAUUCGGUUACGACGAACUACUGCGAAAGCAUUUGCCAAGAAUGUUUUCAUUGAUCAAGAACGAAAGUGUGGGAGUCGAAGAUGAUUAGAUACCGU